UGCUGCAUCCACGGUAUUUAUCCUCUCCAAAACAUGACUUUUUACUUAGGAAAACCUCAUUUCCAUGCCUAUACAGCCUGCCAGUGUUCUCCCUCUCUGCAUCCCCUGCCUCUGGCAGUUACAUCCUGCCAAAGGACCCUGUCUACACUGAGUUUUGCAGCUGCUGUCUGGAGGUUUCGGCCCUCAACCUGGGAGGACAUAAGUUGUAGCUCUACAUUGGUUUAGGUUAUAGAAAUGAGAAACUGCUCUCUUUUAAACUAGGCAAUAAAAGGAUAUCAUGUAUGGGUUUUUAGAAUCUACCAGCUUUAAUUCUGAGAUCUCUGCUUGCAGAAUGAUAAUUGCAGAUCAGUCGCUAAUAACGGGGUUAUAGAUGCAAUUUUUCAUUGUUUUGACAAUAAUGGUGUGCAAGGAAACAAUAGUGGCUAGAGCUUGCUGCUCGUUGUUGCCUAAGGUGCAAAGCCUAAAAUUGGAUUUUUCUUCUUAUUCUUUUUUUAGUGGAAGCCCAUUAUCUGUACACCAUAUGAUUAUCUCAUUUUCUACAGUCUAUCUUAGAGAAAUAUGUUAGGUUGCUUGUAUUUUCUAUGCUAUUGUCAUGUUGAUUAAUAAAAUAAUCCUAUCCUGACACGCCUAGAUUGUACCAGUUUAUGAAAUUUAAUACUGAUUUGAUUUUCACCAUUUUAUCAUUUAACUUGUGAUUCCAUCAUUGACAUUUUGUUCGAUGUCUUCUAAUCAAAGUUUUUAAGGUCCCAAAUAAGACAUUUCAUUUUCCUUUUUCCAAUUGUGGUGCUUAGUUACCUUUUCGAAAAAAUCAUUUCUAGUAUGCACUUACAUAUCAUAUACCAUCCUACUCUUUGAUGCAGUGUACUGCACAAAUUUGUGCUCGGAAAAUUUGAAGCAUUUCUAACUCAUUUACUUUAUUAGUUGGCAUGAAGUGAUGCGAAUACAAGUGUUAUUGUUGAAAAGCAAGGCAUGGAUAGAGUUAUCAAACUAUCAUCAGGUUUCUCAGAUGGCCCUUUGAUAAAACAAGAGGUAAAGUAAUGGCUAGUUGGUUCAUAAAAAUGAAUCAUGCAUAAUUGAAAUUUCCUCGGUUAAAUAACCAAGGUUGGGUAUGAGUCCAUUUGAAGGACGUUGAUGCAGAAAUAGAAACAUCCAUAGCUGUUUCUUGUGUGUGUUCAUGUGUUAACCCAAUGAACAAUACAAGAGAAGCCCUCCCCAUGAUAUUCAUAUUCAUCUUUUCGGGGUUAACUUUUCGUUUAAACUGCACAUGGCAAUAUUGCUGACGAAUUCAUUUGCAACAUUCAGUCGUAAAAUGAGGUAAGGAAGAGCAGUUUAUCGCUGUUGAGAAAACUAGUGGAAAUUAGAGUUAAAUUGGAAGUUAAAGCCGUGAACAUCAAUUAAGCAAUGGUUGCAAUAUGAUUGUGAAUGUGUGAUUAGAGGUGUAAAGCAAGUUGUGUUGAGCUACCAGAAUCAGUUUUGCAGCCCUACUAGUGAUGCAUGUUUCUAUGUCAGAUAUAGCAUGUGAUUAGCAAUUUUUACAUUACUUGGUGAAUAGCUGUGUGCACUGGACUCGCCAUGUUGCAUUUAACUCGAGGCAGGUCAUGUCCAUUAUAUGCAUACUGUGUUUAAGGUCCCCUGAAAAUACAGCUGAAGCAGGCCAUGCAUAGGUUCCCAGAUUCAGACCAACUGCAAAGGAACUCUUAUUCAUGAUUAGGAACCUUGUGGUCAGGAAUCCAGAGAACAGAACGCUUUCGCUCGGAAAUGAUAUUGAGGCACUCCUCAGAAAGGCCAAGGAAAGUCACAAGAGCUGCAAAAAUGCUGCCACUGAUGCUCUCAGGAAUCUUGGACUUGAUAUUACAACUUAUAAUCCAUUACAAUGGUUAUAAAGUCGAGAAGAUGGAGAUCCCCUCCCGGCGUGAUACACGAUGUUUCUUGUGUAUCUUAAAUAAGCAUUUGGUUGCAAAAAAACAGAAGUCAAAGGUGAAAUGUUUUCAAAAUUUUCAUCCUAGGAUUCUUUGCACACCGUGCAUUGUCAUGUUACCAACUAGAAUUGCUACAUUGUCAGAAACUUUUGUUAGAUUCCUUGACAUAAUGUCACAUAGCAUGUUAUCA